rnacentral:rRNA from 1 species
CCUACGGGAGGCUGCAGCAGGGAAUAUUGCGCAAUGAGCGAAAGCUUGACGCAGCGACACCGCGUGUGGGAUGACGGAUCUAGGUUUGUAAACCACUUUCAGGAGGGAAGAAAAUGACGGUACCUCCACAAGAAGCCCCGGCCAACUACGUGCCAGCAGCCGCGGUAAUACGUAGGGGGCGAGCGUUGUCCGGAUUUAUUGGGCGUAAAGAGCUCGUAGGCGGUUCAACAAGUCGGUCGUGAAAGUUCAGGGCUCAACCCUGAAAUGUCGAUCGAUACUGUUGUGACUAGGAUACGGUAGAGGUGAGUGGAAUUCCGAGUGUAGCGGUGAAAUGCGUAGAUAUUCGGAGGAACACCAAUUGCGAAGGCAGCUCACUGGGCCGCUAUCGACGCUGAGGAGCGAAAGCUAGGGGAGCAAACAGGAUUAGAUACCCUUGUAGU